rnacentral:rRNA from 1 species
AGAGUUUGAUUAUGGCUCAGGAUGAACGCUAGCUACAGGCUUAACACAUGCAAGUCGAGGGGCAGCAUUGGAGUAGCAAUACUCAGAUGGCGACCGGCGCACGGGUGAGUAACACGUAUCCAACCUGCCGCUUACUCGGGGAUAGCCUUUCGAAAGAAAGAUUAAUACCCGAUGGUAUAAAGAGUUCGCAUGUUCUCUUUAUUAAAGAAUUUCGGUAAGCGAUGGGGAUGCGUUCCAUUAGAUUGUUGGCGGGGUAACGGCCCACCAAGUCUACGAUGGAUAGGGGUUCUGAGAGGAAGGUCCCCCACAUUGGAACUGAGACACGGUCCAAACUCCUACGGGAGGCAGCAGUGAGGAAUAUUGGUCAAUGGACGAGAGUCUGAACCAGCCAAAAGUAGCGUGAAGGAUGACUGCCCUAUGGGUUGUAAACUUCUUUUAUAAGGGAAUAAAGUGAGGGACGUGUCCCUUUUGUAUGUACCUUAUGAAUAAGGAUCGGCUAACUCCGUGCCAGCCGCCGC